CUUUUGCUUUACGCUACAGCUUUAGUUCAGAUUCACCAAAAUCAUUCAAUCACACCAACAAACUAUCCGAUCAAGGCAGCGGUAGACCAACACCUCUCAUGUUCUGCGAGGU